rnacentral:rRNA from 1 species
AUUGAACGCUGGCGGCAGGCCUAACACAUGCAAGUCGGGCGAGUGGCGGACGGGUGAGUAAUGUAUGGGGAACUGCCUGAUGGCGGGGGAUAACUACUGGAAACGGUAGCUAAUACCGCGUACCAUAGGAUGAGCCCAAGUGGGAUUAGGUAGUUGGUGAGGUAAAGGCUCACCAAGGCGACGAUCCCUAGCUGGUCUGAGAGGAUGACCAGCCACACUGGAACUGAGACACGGUCCAGACUCCUACGGGAGGCAGCAGUGGGGAAUAUUGCGCAAUGGGAGCAAGCCUGACGCAGCCAUGCCGCGUGAAUGAAGAAGGCCUUCGGGUUGUAAAGUACUUUCAGCGGGGAGGCGUUAACUGCAGAAGAAGCACCGGCUAACUCCGUGCCAGCCGCCGCGGUAAUAC